GUUUUUCUUUCCGUCUGCCGUCAGACUUCUGCUCGCUGCUUCUGCGGCGCGAUAGGCAUCUUUGUCAACUUGCAAGAAGAAUAAGAAAUAAUUGACUCGCCUAGCCGAGUCUCAUACCAUAGUAUAGGUUAUGACCAGUCCCAUGGUCUUCACACAAGCCUGUUUGUGAGAGGUUGAAGAGCUUUGUACAUUUGAAGAUUUGCCAGAACUACUCCAGCCCAACAUUCCUCUUGGCCGCCGUUGUUGUGAUCUGCGAAAACAAAGUAUUGUCCCUUGGUUAUGCAGGGAUAUGGACUCUAAAUAGGCAAGUAACAUGAAUAUGCUUACCAACAUGAACUAGACACUGAUAUGCAGGAAAUCUUGAAUCUAUCUAACAUCUUUCUUUUUUGCAUAGGAAUCCUCAAGAGUUUAAUUGCUGAACGAGUGAUAAAUGGUUAACUUUGUCAUGCCCUGCGUCUGGCUCUGCAAGGUUAGCACGAGGACAGGGGAUCCUUGCUAGUUUAUAAUCAAGUACCACUGACAGCAAUGUGCAUUGUGAUAUCAACAGAAACUACUUCAAGGAGCUUUAUUAAAUUUCAAGGAAUGGCAUGUUUAAUUCUUUUGAUUUAGAAUACUUUAACAAAUAAGAGGUCUUUCAAAAAUAUGUUAAAGUAUCUGUAAGUCUAUUGUAGAGAAUGAUUGUUCAAUAAGUAUGUGGCCUAUAAUUGUCAAUGUUUAUGUCUCAUUUGAGCUGAAGAUAUUAAAUUUUGUGUAAACCUGA